UACGUAGGGGGCAAGCGUUGUCCGGAAUUAUUGGGCGUAAAGAGCGCGUAGGCGGUCCGAUAAGUCGGCUGUGAAAGUCAGGGGCUCAACCCUUGAAAGCCGGCCGAUACUGUCGGACUAGAGUCCGGAAGAGGCGAGUGGAAUUCCCGGUGUAGCGGUGAAAUGCGCAGAUAUCAGGGGGAACACCGGUGGCGAAGGCGGUUCUCUGGGCCUGUACUGACGCUGAGGAGCGAAAGCGUGGGGAGCAAACAGG
rnacentral:rRNA from 1 species